rnacentral:lncRNA from 7 species
AUCCUUUUUUUCUUUCUCAAUCCUUUCCUUUCUUCUUCCUCCCUACCAGCGCUAUUGGCUUCGUUGGCCAUAUCGUCCAUUGAGACAAUGAAUGGUCACUAGGGCCAACUACUCCCGAUAGAGGGAGAUGACUGCCUACUAUAACUUCGGUGGUCCACAAUACUAUCACCGAUAGGAAACCUGCAUAGAGUACAAUAAGACUAUGUAGAUGGUGUUGACCAAAUCAAGAUGGUGAUUUACCAAGUCAAGGAAGGUGUGUGAGGACUUGUUGACCAGACGAUCAAGGAUAAGUAGUGACACACGUCGAGAUUAUGGAGGAAGCAUAGCAGGUACACGACUUAAGCUAGGUUUGGUGGUUUCAGCUUCAAAACUAAAAAUGACAGGUUAGCGGGUUUGGUCCUAAAAACCCAUGGCAAGACCUUGGGGUGUCAUGUGGCAUCAUCGGGGGAUCUUGCACCGAGGCAAAGCUACUUCAUGGAGGGAUCUUCAUCGUCCACUACUCAAAAUGGAACUUGAACCAUUUUGCCCCUAGGAUUAAGUGGUUGAGGGAAAAUAUCUGAAUGUUAUCUUAUGAUGUGUAGUAGUCAUAUAAAUAAGGAUAUAGAGUCUAUCAAAACAACCAUCUCUCGCAUCUAUCCCAUAAGCACGGGCUAGCCAAGUUUUCACUGUCUAUGGGAUUAGAUGUAGCUUAGAGUUUGUAGAUCUAUAAGAGGGAGGAUGAAGGGUGUGGGGUAGGCCAUUUCUUUGAAAAUUGUUUUAUGCUUAUUCAAUCAAGUUGACCUUUGGUCUUG